GAACGCAAAUUGGGUAAUAAUCGGAUAGAAGAACUCAGUGUAGACGGAAUAGUUAGAGAGAAACGGUCGUUGCAGACACUUUUUACUUCUUCACUUGAAAAGAUCCCAAGAAUUCUUCUGGAGUUAUUGUAGAAUUGGAUCAUCAUUGAGAAUAAAAUUAUAGGUGUGAAGUCAGAGGUGGAUUAAUCAUCAAAGAGAGGAGUUUGCUGCGUAAGUUGAUCGGAUCCGAUUGAGGAUGGCGAGACUCUUGGAGGGAAAUGCAAUCCUCAAGGAGUUGAAUGACGAUCUUGAAUUGGCCGGUGGCGGCGCUGUGUUGGCGAAUCUGAACGAGGAAGAAGAAGAAGAAUGUGGGAUUGAAGGCGUCUUUUGUCCUCUGAGCAAAGAGGACCUGAAGGUGAUUCGCGAUAACGCUGCAUUGCAUGCCAAAUCCGGACGACGCAGCAAACGACCCUCUCGAGGUGUGUCCAUCUGUGAAGAAGGAAAAUUUGGGUCCUCACUCCUGCCUUUGGUCAUGUCCACUCGAUUCAACAAAAACCAAAGAAGAUCUCGAGGUGGAAUGGGUCGUGGCUUACCUAAAAAGGGGGGAGGCGGAGGAAAGGGAACUUGGGGUAAAUUAGGCUGUGAGUUGGAGCUUCCCUGGGUUGAUCGGAAUGACCCCAACUAUGAAUCCGAUCCAGAAGAUACUCCAACUAAAUUCCAUGCACUUGUUCCUGAAAUGGGGGAAGAGGAUAUGCAAAAAUUGGUGGAGCCUCUUAUUCUGGAAUACUUUGAAAAUUCGGAUGCUGGAGAGGUGAUCUACACUCUUCAGGAGAUGCUUCUAAAUAUACGUGAUCACCGCUCUAUGAUAGUAUCCAUUACUGUGGAACUGGCUAUGGAACAUAAAUCCUCGCACAGGGAGUUAGCCAGUGUUCUUCUCUCUGAUCUAUAUCAAAAAGUUAUUUCUCAAAGGGAUAUUGGAACGGGCUAUGAUUACUUACUCAAACAAUUGCCCGACCUGGUGUUUGACAAUCCUGAUGCAACGGAUGUUUUGGGUAAUUUUAUAGCCAGGUCCAUCGCGGACGAUUGCAUUCCACCCAAGUUUCUCAAGUCUUAUAAGAGCUGUACAAUCAACGAUUAUGCGGUUAAAGCAAUUGAAAGAGCAGAUGCACUUCUGAACAUGAAGCACGGUCUAGUCCGUUUGGACAACAUUUGGGGUACUGGAGGAGGGGUUCGUCCAGUGAAGUACCUUGUCAAACAAAUUAUAAUGCUUCUAAAAGAAUACAUAAGCUCAGAGGAUAUACAUGAAGCAACUCAGUGUCUUCAGGAUCUGGAAGUGCCUCAUUUUCACCAUGAAUUGGUCUAUGAAGCAACUGUAAUGGUCAUUGAGUCCAUGAACGUGCACACUGAAGAAGCCAUUUGUAAAUUGCUCCAAUCUCUAUUCAGAAGCUUCAUUGUUACUAUUGAUCAAAUAAGAAAUGGAUUUGAGCGUGUAUUUGAUAUCAUGCCAGACAUAGCAAUUGAUGUUCCAACAGCUUAUACAGUUCUGGAGCGUUUUUGUGAUCGCUGCAGAAAGGCAGGAUUUGUCACAGAUGAGCUCAAUCGUAAGAUGCCGUCCAGAGGACGCAAACGUUUUGUCUCUGAGGGAGAUGGUGGCCGAUUCAAGGAAUACUGGUAAAUGAAGUCGUCAGAUUUUUGUGUACAUGAUGACAAUUCGUGGACCGAAGAAAUAUGAAUUCUAUAAAUGAAGAACCUCUACAUACAUUUUUAUUGAAUUAUUGAUUAAAUUAUUAUUGUUUGGUAUGAUGCGCUUUUUUAAGAAGGAGAGUUAAAGAAGAACUACUACCACUACUACUAAUCCUCAUUGCCUUCAUGAUACCUUUAAAAUCUCAUUAAUACAAAUAAUAUGAUGAAUCCCCCAAAAAUAUAUAUUCAUAAACCUGCUAUUUAUAAUUCGUACAUAUAUAUAUUAUUUUUUUUGACGAAUUUCUGUUUUGUUAAAUUUUUAUUUAUUUUUGAAUUAAUCUUCCCGGUACUAAAAGUGAUACAAUAUAGCACUAGCUGGUGACCUGCUUCGUGUUCUGUGGUUUCUUAUUUUUACAUUUACUCUUUAUUUAACAUUUUCAAAGCAUAUUUAAUAAAUAUACGGCGAGAGUGCUACACGUCCUUAAUACGAGAAUAAUUUAUACUAAUUUUUUGCUCUAUGUGAUCAUAUAGAUAUAAUAAUAAAAACCGUUAAAUAAUA
rnacentral:misc_RNA from 1 species